rnacentral:tRNA from 1 species
GCUUUCGUAGGCUCAGCGGCUAGAGCGUACAACCGCAUGGUUGUGUAGUCGCCGGUUCGAAUCCGGCCGAACGCG